UUAAUACCCGGCGGUCUCGGAUGGCCGCAUGACUGUCCGAGUGAAGAUUUAUCGGUAUGAGAUGGCGAUGCGUCCCAUUAGCUUGUUGGUGAGGUAACGGCUCACCAAGGCAUCGAUGGGUAGGGGUUCUGAGAGGAAGGUCCCCCACAUUGGAACUGAGACACGGUCCAAACUCCUACGGGAGGCAGCAGUGAGGAAUAUUGGUCAAUGGACGAAAGUCUGAACCAGCCAAGUAGCGUGCAGGAAGACGGCCCUCUGGGUUGUAAACUGCUUUUAGUUGGGAAUAAAAAGAGGGACGUGUCCCUUAUUGUAUGUACCAUCAGAAAAAGGACCGGCUAAUUCCGUGCCAGCAGCCGCGGUAAUACGGAAGGUCCAGGCGUUAUCCGGAUUUAUUGGGUUUAAAGGGAGCGCAGGCGGCGGCGUAAGUCAGUUGUGAAAUCGUGCGGCUUAACCGUGCAAUUGCAGUUGAUACUGCGUCGCUUGAGUGCACACAGGGAUGCUGGAAUUCAUGGUGUAGCGGUGAGAUGCUUA
rnacentral:rRNA from 1 species